rnacentral:rRNA from 1 species
UACGGAGGAUCCAAGCGUUAUCCGGAAUCAUUGGGUUUAAAGGGUCCGUAGGCGGUUUAGUAAGUCAGUGGUGAAAGCCCAGUCGCUCAACGGUGGAACGGCCAUUGAUACUGCUAGACUUGAAUUAUUAGGAAGUAACUAGAAUAUGUAGUGUAGCGGUGAAAUGCUUAGAGAUUACAUGGAAUACCAAUUGCGAAGGCAGGUUACUACUAAUGGAUUGACGCUGAUGGACGAAAGCGUGGGUAGCGAACAGG